rnacentral:rRNA from 1 species
ACAUGCCUACAACCUAGUAUUAAUGCAUCAUAUCCCAUUAGAACUCCACAGUUAAGCGCACUCGGGCUAGAGUAGUAUUGGGAUGGGUGACUUCCCAGGAAGUCCUAGUAUUUUACAUGCC